GGCUAGUCUGAGUGCAGUGGUGUUUACAACUAAUCAAUCACAACCAGUUACAGAUUUCUUUGUUCCUUCUCCACACACUUCACUUGACUAGCCUUAA
rnacentral:Y_RNA from 1 species